AUGCAGCUCAUCUGAUGCCGGUGCCUAAUGGCCUCAGCUUUAGUGCGACUAUAAAAUGCAGUGAAUUAUGCCAGGCGAGGUUAUUAAAUAAAUUUUGCAUGUGGCUCAUUAAACCUGACAGCUGCAGAUACAAAAAAAUUAAAGCCAGGCGAAAUAUGCCAGAAAGGUCCCAGUGGCAACAAAAAUUGAAUAACCACACGGAGCAUUCACACCUGUACCUUCCAGGUAUGCACGUGUGUAUAAAGUGCCUGACACUAAACUCAACACGCACCCAAUUACCCACAACGUACUCCCAAUAUGGUGCCAGGAACAGAGGACGUUGUGCCGCACGUGUCAUAACCCGGAAUCAUUUCCGCUUCCGGCAGGAAAAAUAUGAUUAAAUUUGUCAAGCUCGACGGUUUUUCCUUUUCUGCUCCAUUCUGAGCUCCUUCGCAGGAAUUGAGUUCCAGUUCCGACUGUGCCACAAUGACCAACAGCUUAUCAAAAGGACACACCCAGGAACAGGACUUGCGCUAAUUAGACCGACAACAGCCACGCACAUCAUCAACAUGCCCGCCUUUCGGCCAUGAAUCAGGAUAUUGCCGCACCCAUCUUGCGGCAAGUGUAAACAUAAUACGUGGUGUUCCACAGAAAACUAUUUGCCCAAUAAAUCAAAUUGACUGAACGGUAGCAAGUCGAGCGCUAUAUGUACUCUCAAUUAGUUAAACAUUAGCAGGACAUUUUGGUUAAAUAUGUUGCUGCAUAAUAAACCAAGUUAAAUAAUAAGCCCAGGCAAAGCCACAAGUGGAACGCUCCAGGAAUUGUCAAAAAAUUAAUUAAAAUUAUGCAAAUGUGAGCAAUAAACGUAAGUACUAAGCGUA
rnacentral:sRNA from 1 species